GGGCUUGUACUGGUUUCGACGGGGGUUUUGAAGUUGGAGAAGCCAUCCGCGGGACGGGACCGCGCAGUAAACCGUAACUUAAAAAUAAACGCAGACAAUAAUAAAUUAGCGUACGCUGCCUAAUUUCGGCAGCAGUCGGCUCCGGACUGCCCGCGGUCUGGAUUACCGGCUUCAACACUUGCGGGGCACUUCGUUUCCAAAGCUUUGAGGAGAUGGAAGACUUUAUGAAGCUACCGAAGAUGGCAGCCUGUCAUUAGGCGGCAAUCCGGGGGAAUCUCAAAAUAAUGACUGUGAUGGGAGAUGCUCUGAUGGAGAGGCUUUCGGACGCGGGUUCGAUUCCCGCCAGGUCCAUAC
rfam:Ruminococcus sp. DSM 100440 contig00008, whole genome shotgun sequence.